UACAGAGGUCUCAAGCGUCGUUCGGAUUCAUUGGGCGUAAAGGGUGUGUAGGUGGCGCCGUAAGUCGGGUGUGAAAUUUCGGAGCUUAACUCCGAAACUGCAUUCGAUACUGCGGUGCUUGAGGACUGGAGAGGAGACUGGAAUUCAUGGUGUAGCAGUGAAAUGCGUAGAGAUCAUGAGGAAGACCAGUGGCGAAGGCGGGUCUCUGGACAGUUCCUGACACUGAGACACGAAGGCCAGGGGAGCAAACGGG
rnacentral:rRNA from 1 species